rnacentral:rRNA from 1 species
ACGACAGGGUGCGUAACACGUAUGCAACCUACCCUUUACAGGCGGAUAGCUCGGGGAAACUCGAAGUUAACCCGCCAUAAUAUAAUUGAAUGGCAUCAUGGUGAUUAUUAAAUCUUUGGAGGUAAAGGAUGGGCAUGCGUCUGAUUAGUUAGUUGGUAGUGUAACGGACUACCAAGACGAUGAUCAGUAGGGGAACUGAGAGGUUGAUCCCCCACACUGGCACUGAGAUACGGGCCAGACUCCUACGGGAGGCAGCAGUAGGGAAUAUUGGUCAAUGGGUGAGAGCCUGAACCAGCCAUGCCGCGUGCAGGAAGAAGGCCUUCUGGGUUGUAAACUGCUUUUGCCAGGGGAUAAAAAUUCCAUGCGUGGAAAAUUGAAGGUACCUGGUGAAUAAGCCACGGCUAACUACGUGCCAGCCGCCGCGG